UAUGGACAUGACUGAAAGCAUUCUCAGUCAGGUGUUCCAAGUCAUGAUUGGGACUGUGCAGCAUGGCUCUCGACAGGACCUAAUAUCAGGCUAAAACACAACAUACUUUCAUAUAGGAAAUGAACGUAUGGACAUUCAUGACGAAAAGCAUCGAAGCCAGGAAUUCCAAGUAAUGAUUUGUACAUUGCAGCAUGCCUCUCUACAGAUCCAAAUACCAGUAUAUAUCAGACUCAAAAUUAAAUGGACACUUAAGGACCAAGAAGAACCUACAUGUGAAGUAUCCUUCGGAUGGAUGAAGGACAGAACUGACCACAGACGAAGAGGGAUUUGAAGAGCCAGGUGUUGGGCUUAAAAUGUAUAAGUUGAUAGAUUUGGUGACAGUGCUGUUAGGGUUCAACAGAUGUAACCAACAAUGCAUGAUCCUUUUAUCUACAAUUACCCUUGCUAACAAUUAUGUAAUCCAUGUAUUAAGGCAGUGUAAUCACAUUCACAGCUACAUUAUUCAAAUAUAUAGUUAUUCCAUGUGUUAUAUAAUAAAAUUUAUGUAACUGUAUAGCUAUAUCCUAUACCUUCAUUUUAUGACGUCAAUUGAACAUGUCCUAUAUAUAUAUGUCCGUGGUAUCAUGUCAUGAACACAAGCUUGUCGUUAACGUCAACUGGGUAAAGCUAUUAAACCAUUCCUCACGUCAAUGGCAAAUCAUAUAUGUGGCUCAAACGUGCAGAUUGGCAUAUUGAUUUUAUUUUCAACGCUACAUGGAGAAGUCAGCUGAUGGAAUAUAUGUCUGGAAGAGACAUGUAAAGUGAGGGGUACUCACGUAUUUAUUUAUUUAUUUAUUUAUUUAUCUAUCUAUUUAUUUUCAUUUAUGUCCACUAUUACGGCCAUUUAGCUGAUGAUAGCGUAGAUAUACCCCACCUUUCUUAUGAAGUGAUAAUAAGAACAGACGAGUGUUGUACUAAUUAAUGGAUUUAAUCAGUGAUUAGUCAUUUUACCUGCAACUCUGACAAACUGAUCUUGAUUUUCUUUGAUCGAUCACGAUCCGAUUAUAACAUGGAAAUUUUCAAAAAUUAUUACGAUUUAUAGCAGACUUGAAAAAUGGAUAAACGAAGAAACUAACCAACAUCAAAAUGCUUUAAAAUGCUAUUUUAAAACAUAGCUAGAUACCUUAAAAGAUAGUCACCACAUUUUCCACCAUUUUGGUGAAUUACUUUAUAUAGACAAUGUAUACAUGGAUACAUUUCCCUGUCUGACCAUAAUUCAUAAUAAAUCAAUAAUCAGCUAUGCCAGUGGGCCCAUAUAACAAACGUUAGUCACCUAUAACAUGUUG